GGAUCAAGCGUCUGAAGGGCAUCUGGUGGAUGCCUUGGCACUGAGAGGCGAUGAAGGACGCAGCACGUUGCGAUAAGCCAUGGGGAGCCGCGAGCAGGCUUUGAUCCGUGGAUUUCCGAAUGGGGCAACCCACCGCGCAAGCGGUAUCCUCACGCUGAAUCCAUAGGCGUGGGAGGCGAACCCGGCGAACUGAAACAUCUAAGUAGCCGGAGGAAAGGACAUCAACCGAGACUCCGCUAGUAGUGGCGAGCGAACGCGGACCAGGCCAGUCAUUCAGUCUACACAACCGGAACCGUCUGGAAAGGCGGGCCAGAGCGGGUGAUAGCCCCGUACGGGUAAACCGGACUGAAUGCUCGAGUAGGGCGGGGCACGUGAAACCCUGUCCGAACAUGGGGGGACCACCCUCCAAGCCUAAGUACUCCUCAGUGACCGAUAGUGCACCAGUACCGUGAGGGAAAGGUGAAAAGCACCCCGACGAGGGGAGUGAAACAGUUCCUGAAACCGGAUGCCUACAAGCAGUCGGAGCGGCCUUGCGCCGUGACGGCGUACCUUUUGUAUAAUGGGUCAGCGACUUACAGUAAGCAGCGAGCUUAAGGCGAUAGCCGGAGGCGCAGCGAAAGCGAGUCUGAACAGG
rnacentral:rRNA from 1 species